rnacentral:siRNA from 1 species
UUGGAUCACACUUGUCGUCGUGCG